rnacentral:tRNA from 1 species
GGGCGCUUGGUCUAGGGGUAUGAUUUUCGCUUCGCAUCAUUCUACGAAUACAUGCGCUUAUGUGAAAGGUCGUGGGUUCAAUUCCCACAGCGUCCA